rnacentral:misc_RNA from 1 species
GUCCUCUGCUGGGCAGAAAAGAAAAAGAAUAACAGUUAAUUUGUACAAUCCUAUAUUUGUAUUGCAUUGGCUAGUUUGUCCACUGCAUCUUGUGUUUACAGUAUCCUUAACCUUCUAUGUACAGAAGUCACUCAGCAGAGGUGUCCCAGUGGCAUAGCAGAGGAGGAAUAUAAACAUCCUGAAAAAUCAUCAUGAACCUGAACUUCAGCCCAGUCAAGUCUCGCUUAUCUAGCAUGCAUAAUUUUCAGAAUCAAAGAAAUAAAGCAUACCUUAGGAUGAUGUUAAAUCUCGUUAUUCCAUAGCUUAUUACUGAGAUGCUAUGUCCUGGUACAUUCCAAAGUGAUAAAUGAAUAGCAAACAGUUUUUUGCCAGGGCGACUCUAAAGCAUUGCAUCUUGCGAAUGCUCCACUAGAGCUGAUCAUUUGACCACCGAAUCUUGUAUUCAGAUCAACUGCCGCGUGGAACUUGACCCAAGCAUUCGCAAUUUCUUGUCUGACAACUUGAAGCAACUAGGGACUUGCAUCAGAUGUUACCAACGUAUUCAUCCACAUCGAUACCAUGCUCUCCACUUUCCUUCUCAAUUCUAGUCGCUGUGGUCAGAACGACUUUGUAGUCUCGGUUCGAGUACACUUUAAACAGAAGUCAAGAGAGGGAUAAAAAUAUAGCUCCAAUGUUGACAUGGUUCAUACAGUGAAUUUAGCUGUACUAGCACCUAACCAUCCACCUUCAACUCCAUUAUUCGUCCUUGCUGCCAUGUCCCUUCAUCCAUCUAUUCCUCGUCUAGUAUUUAUGCAAAAAAUGUAUUAUCUGGCAUUGCUUUCUUGGGAUCCUGAAAAUGAAGUGCGUCUUGUUGAAUUAAGGUGCACUCACAGCAUAUGUGCUGCGGUGCACGUACGCAUAAUCUACCAAUUACCCAAUCAAUCCAUUUCACACCUCUCCCAUACCAACAACAACAACAACAACAACAGCCAAUCACACUCCAUCAUGCGUAUGCAUGCUGGACAGCCAAUUGGCUGCGGUGUGCAUACGCAUUAUUUCCUCCUCACGACGAGACGUGGCCUAAAUCAUCCCCGAGUGCGUGCACAUAAAGCAUGUAGGCUACGCUGUUCGUACUGUGGUCUGUACGCCAGUUGCAUAGCAACCGACUCAGAGGCUACCAUGUCAAACACUUCUUGCACUUCUUGCUUCGACAGAAGUGUUCAAAUGAAAUCUGAGUUCACGUGGGCUAAAUCGAUGAAUGUGAAGCUAAAUUUCUUCUCUCUAACCUAAACCGGUAGUUCGAACAAACAAAGUAUUACACAGCCCCUCUCUUCUUUCGAGCGUCGUCCCCGACGCUCCCCUUGGUCAGCCUCCCGUGUCAGCCAUCACAACGUAAUCUGUGCUGCGAGAAGCACCCACGAGCUAACCAUCCCAGUUGUCGAGAUUCGAACGCAUGUGUUCCUGUAGUGCUAUCAAUUCCGCGUAGCACUCAGUGCAGCAAAUGCGCGCUCCUUGGCCGUCCUCUCCCACGACACUGUGGUCCCAUGAAAGAUGGAGGUACGAAUCCAAGCUUUCGAAUGAGUCGAGCCUCACACAACACAUAUUGCGAUUCCAGGCUUAAUUGAUACCGUGGAAGAAACGCAAGGGCAUCGUAGAAACCUGAGCAAAUGUGGCGGUCGGGCGUCAUAGGAACAAAAUGCAUGCGAUCCAAGUGUGCAAAGCAUAAAACGAUGUUAUCCAAUGGCAUCCUGCACAUUCUACAUCUGGCAACAGGAGAGAGAGCUUACGGAGGAUGCUUGACCACAACGUCGCAGGUCUCUCUUGGCAGUUCCACUGCACUUGGAGUUCACGGCUAGUGUCGCUUCCCUCCCUGUCCCCUGUCUCCCUGUCGAACACGAGGGCGAGGGAGAUGCCGAAGCUGGACGUCGAUCUCAGCCCUUGUUACGAGAUACCAGAGGUUCUCUCAUCCAUAGCACAUGCACUUCUUUCACACCGCCAAAAUUUGCUAGAAGCGACAUGGAGCAGGAUAAAAUCCAUCGAAGUCGGAUCCACUUUCCGCUGGCGUCCCGAGACUCCCUUUAAGGUAAAAGAAGGCAUAGUACGGGGGGUGGAAUACAUGUAUUCUGGAAACAGAGGGUUUGGGGGCUGUUGGCACGGCCCAAAGGCCGGCCAGCCGGCUAGUACAAUAUGGCCACCCAAGUGACCGAAACCCGCACUUCAAACAAACAAAAGUACUACACCUACAUGCAUUGAAAAGGCACUUAAACUAGCAUGUAUCAUGUGCCUAAGACAGUAGUAUUUUACUUGCACUUAAAUUUAGUUGAAUUAUAAUCAAAUUAUUGCUACGCUGGACUCGAGACUUAUCAGAAGGCAGAAGAACACAUAACACAUAUGUAAUGUAACAGACAGGAAGAAACUGGAGCUGCUGGCAUUGUUCAGAGGCUAGCCCAGUCUGCAAAGGAAAUCCAUCUAACCCGAUUCGUAGUAACGGAAUCUAGAGUCAAGCAAGCAACAAAGCAUUACGACUGCAGUUUAACUCGAUAAGUGGAAGGGGACUGUAAUACAUUGUUUGUUCGAACUGCCGGUUUCGGUCGCUUGGGUGGUCAUCUUGUACUAGCCAAUUCCCCGGCCCUCCCUCCGUGCCAACAGCCGCCAAGCCCUCUGGUUCCAGAAUAUAUAUUCUACUUUGUCACUAAGCCUUCUAUUACUUUAGGGGAACACUCAGGACGCUACAGGGACAAUGUCUUUGGAAUGUGGGGCCGUGAAAAUUAAUCCGUUCUACUUUCUUCCCACCUCCUCUUUUCCUCCUUUAGGCACGUCAGACCACCCAUGUAAGACCGUAAGUUAUUCGCCCUAUAUAUACGCGAUAUAUCGCCUUUGUAAUGUAACAUUUUCGCCAAUCAAUUCUUMUAAAACCUCCCUUUUGGUAUCCACUUAAUAGUCACUAAUUUCUCUUUAAAACAGGUGAGCAGGAAACACUUUCUCAUUAUCUUUAAGAAGAAUAAAGAUGCCCAAUUCAUCCUAUUAGCCACAUUAUCAAACUGGCACAGUUAACUUGAAUUCUAGUUGAAUUAUAAUCAAAUUAUUGCUACGCUCCACUCGAGACUUAUCAGAAGGCAGAAGAACACAUAACACAUAUGUAA